GUAAUAACCUGAACAAUAACUAUGAUUUCUUAUGCAAUUUUGAUAUUUUUUACAGUGAUGUCUGUUAUGGACCAAAGUGAGGAAGGGUCUGUAACAAUUCAAGGUAUAGGCCAGAAAGAAGUUAAGGUUCCGGGUAACGUCAAACAAUAAUUUUAUGUUUAAAUUAGAAUAUGAAAUGAAUAAUAAAAAGAAAUAUGAAAAUGAAAAGAAGGUU